rnacentral:rRNA from 1 species
UACGUAGGGUGCGAGCGUUAAUCGGAAUUACUGGGCGUAAAGCGUGCGCAGGCGGUUUGUUAAGUCUGAUGUGAAAGCCCCGGGCUCAACCUGGGAACUGCAUUGGAAACUGGGCAAGCUCGAGUAUGGCAGAGGGGGGUGGAAUUCCGCGUGUAGCAGUGAAAUGCGUAGAGAUGCGGAGGAACACCGAUGGCGAAGGCAGCCCCCUGGGCCAAUACUGACGCUCAGGCACGAAAGCGUGGGGAGCAAACAGG